rnacentral:rRNA from 1 species
CCCUAGUAACUGCGAGUGAAGCGGGAAAAGCUCAAAUUUAAAAUCUGGCGGCUUUGGUCGUCCGAGUUGUAUUCUAGAGAAGUGUUUUCCGCGUUGGACCGUGUAUAAGUCUCUUGGAACAGAGCGUCAUAGAGGGUGAGAAUCCCGUCUUUGACACGGACUACCAAUGCUUUGUGAUGCGCUCUCAAAGAGUCGAGUUGUUUGGGAAUGCAGCUCAAAAUGGGUGGUAAAUUCCAUCUAAAGCUAAAUAUUGGCGAGAGACCGAUAGCGAACAAGUACCGUGAGGGAAAGAUGAAAAGCACUUUGGAAAGAGAGUUAAACAGUACGUGAAAUUGCUGAAAGGGAAACGCUUGAAGUCAGUCGCGUUAUCUAGAACUCAACCAGGCUUGCUUGGCGUAUUUUCUAGUUAACGGGCCAGCAUCAGUUUUGACCGCAGGAAAAAGGCCAGGGAAAUGUGGCACCUUCGGGUGUGUUAUAGUCUCUGGUCAUAUACUGUGAUUGGGACUGAGGACCGCAGCACGCGCAAGUUGUGCUUAGGAUGCUGGCGUAAUGGCUUUAAACGACCCGUCUUGAAACACGGACCAAGGAGUCUAACAAACCUGCGAGUAUUUGGGUGGUAAACCCGAGUGCGUAAUGAAAGUGAAAGUUGGGAUCCCUGUCGUGGGGAGCACCGACGCCCGGACCAGACCUUCUGUGACGGAUCUGCGGUAGAGCAUGUUUGUUGGGACCCGAAAGAUGGUGAACUAUGCCUGAAUAGGGUGAAGCCAGAGGAAACUCUGGUGGAGGCUCGUAGCGAUUCUGACGUGCAAAUCGAUCGUCAAAUUUGGGUAUAGGGGCGAAAGAC